rnacentral:rRNA from 1 species
GAUUCGUCACACUAUCAUUAACUGAAUCCAUAGGUUAAUGAGGCGAACCGGGGGAACUGAAACAUCUAAGUACCCCGAGGAAAAGAAAUCAACCGAGAUUCCCCCAGUAGCGGCGAGCGAACGGGGAGGAGCCCAGAGCCUGAAUCAGCAUGUGUGUUAGUGGAAGCGUCUGGAAAGGCGCGCGAUACAGGGUGACAGCCCCGUACACAAAAGCGCAUGUGCUGUGAGCUCGAUGAGUAGGGCGGGACACGUGGUAUCCUGUCUGAAUAUGGGGGGACCAUCCUCCAAGGCUAAAUACUCCUGACUGACCGAUAGUGAACCAGUACCGUGAGGGAAAGGCGAAAAGAACCCCGGCGAGGGGAGUGAAAAAGAACCUGAAACCGUGUACGUACAAGCAGUGGGAGCCCCACCACCAAAGCAUUCU